UGAGGAACCUAUCCCAGACUCUGGAAUAACCGCUGGAAACAGCUGCUAAUACCGGAUACGACCUCCGAUGGCAUCAUCUGGAGGUGGAAAGCUCCGACGGUCAAGGAUGGGCUCGCGGCCUAUCAGCUUGUUGGUGAGGUAACGGCUCACCAAGGCUUCGACGGGUAGCCGGCCUGAGAGGGCGACCGGCCACACUGGGACUGAGAUACGGCCCAGACUCCGUACGGGAGCAG
rnacentral:rRNA from 1 species